rnacentral:misc_RNA from 1 species
UGGUUCUGGCAUCGAUGAAGAACGCAGCGAAAUGCGAUAAGUAAUGUGAAUUGCAGAAUUCAGUGAAUCAUCGAAUCUUUGAACGCACAUUGCGCCCGCCAGCAUUCUGGCGGGCAUGCCUGUUCGAGCGUCAUUUCAACCCUCAAGCACCGCUUGGCGUUGGGGCCCUACGGCUUCCGUAGGCCCCGAAAUACAGUGGCGGACCCUCCCGGAGCCUCCUUUGCGUAGUAACAUACCACCUCGCACUGGGAUCCGGAGGGACUCCUGCCGUAAAACCCCCCAAUUUUCCAAAGGUUGACCUCGGAUCAGGUAGGAAUACCCGCUGA